AUGAACCGGCGCGGAAUGCUUUACACAUGCAAGUCGAACGGCAGCACGGAGAGCUUGCUCUCUGGUGGCGAGUGGCGAACGGGUGAGUAAUAUAUCGGAACGUGUCCAAUAAUGGGGGAUAACGAGUCGAAAGAUUCGCUAAUACCGCAUACGCCCUACGGGGGAAAGCAGGGGAUCGUAAGACCUUGCGUUAAUGGAGCGGCCGAUAUCUGAUUAGCUUGUUGGUGAGGUAAAGGCUCACCAAGGCGACGAUCAGUAGCUGGUUUGAGAGAACGACCAGCCACACUGGAACUGAGACACGGUCCAGACUCCUACGGGAGGCAGCAGUGGGGAAUUUUGGACAAUGGGGGCAACCCUGAUCCAGCCAUUCCGCGUGAGUGAAGAAGGCCUUCGGGUUGUAAAGCUCUUUCGCAAGGGAAGAAAACUUAUGAUCGAAUAAAUCAUGAGGUUGACGGUACCUUGAUAAGAAGCACCGGCUAACUACGUGCCAGCAGCCGCGGUAAUACGUAGGGUGCGAGCGUUAAUCGGAAUUACUGGGCGUAAAGCGUGCGCAGGCGGUUUUGUAAGUCGGAUGUGAAAUCCCCGGGCUCAACCUGGGAACUGCGUUCGAAACUGCAAGGCUAGAGUGUGUCAGAGGGGGGUAGAAUUCCACGUGUAGCAGUGAAAUGCGUAGAGAUGUGGAGGAAUACCAAUGGCGAAGGCAGCCCCCUGGGAUAACAC
rnacentral:rRNA from 1 species